rnacentral:rRNA from 1 species
GACGAACGCUGGCGGCGUGCCUAAUACAUGCAAGUUGAGCGAUGAAGAUUGGUGCUUGCCCCAAUUUGAAGAGCAGCGAACGGGUGAGUAACGCGUGGGGAAUCUGCCUUUGAGCGGGGGACAACAUUUGGAAACGAAUGCUAAUACCGCAUAACAACUUUAAACAUAAGUUUUAAGUUUGAAAGAUGCAAUUGCAUCACUCAAAGAUGAUCCCGCGUUGUAUUAGCUAGUUGGUGAGGUAAAGGCUUACCAAGGCGAUGAUACAUAGCCGACCUGAGAGGGUGAUCGGCCACAUUGGGACUGAGACACGGCCCAAACUCCUACGGGAGGCAGCAGUAGGGAAUCUUCGGCAAUGGACGAAAGUCUGACCGAGCAACGCCGCGGGAGUGAAGAAGGUUUUCGGAUCGUAAAACUCUGUUGGUAGAGAAGAACGUUGGUGAGAGUGGAAAGCUCAUCAAGUGACGGUAACUACCCAGAAAGGGACGGCUAACUACGUG